AGUAGGCAGCUGGAGGUUGAACGUUUGAAGGAGUAGGCAGCUGGAGGUUGAACGUUUGAAGGAGUAGGCAGCUGGAGGUUGAACGUUUGAAGGAGUAGGCAGCUGGAGGUUGAACGUUUGAAGGAGUAGGCAGCUGGAGGUUGAACGUUUGAAGGAGUAGGCAGCUGGAGGUUGAACGUUUGAAGGAGUAGGCAGCUGGAGGUUGAACGUUUGAAGGAGUAGGCAGCUGGAGGUUGAACGUUUGAAGGAGUAGGCAGCUGGAGGUUGAACGUUUGAAGGAGUAGGCAGCUGGAGGUUGAACGUUUGAAGGAGUAGGCAGCUGGAGGUUGAACGUUUGAAGGAGUAGGCAGCUGGAGGUUGAACGUUUGAAGGAGUAGGCAGCUGGAGGUUGAACGUUUGAAGGAGUAGGCAGCUGGAGGUUG